CUCCAGACUCCUACGGGAGGCAGCAGUGGGGAAUAUUGCACAAUGGGGGAAACCCUGAUGCAGCGACGCCGCGUGAGCGAUGAAGUAUUUCGGUAUGUAAAGCUCUAUCAGCAGGGAAGAAGAUGACGGUACCUGACUAAGAAGCCCCGGCUAACUACGUGCCAGCAGCCGCGGUAAUACGUAGGGGGCAAGCGUUAUCCGGAUUUACUGGGUGUAAAGGGAGCGUAGACGGCGAUGCAAGCCAGAUGUGAAAGCCCGGGGCUCAACCCCGGGACUGCAUUUGGAACUGUGUGGCUGGAGUGUCGGAGAGGCAGGCGGAAUUCCUAGUGUAGCGGUGAAAUGCGUAGAUAUUAGGAGGAACACCAGUGGCGAAGGCGGCCUGCUGGACGAUGACUGACGUUGAGGCUCGAAAGCGUGGGGAGCAAACAGGAUUAGAUACCCUCGUAUG
rnacentral:rRNA from 1 species